GGUUUUCUCGGGAGUGUCGUUGUACUCUCCAGCAUCGUCAGGCAAUUCCCACUCAGGGUGGCCAGCCUUCGCCGCUGCUGCUUUGAAGUCUGCUUCCAGGUACUUAUCAUAACACUGCAGAUUAUUUUUGUUUUAGUUAAAACAGUUAAUUGGAGCCCUUUUGUCUUUACUUGUUAUGGUAUUAUUUUUGCAUCCGUUUUAAUUCAUGCCUGUCUGUUUAGUUGGAUGUACAUUUGAUGUCCACUGCUUUUACCGUUUAAUUGUGGGACCAUGGUCUUAUGUUUGCUUCUGAUACUUUGCUCAAAAGAAGAGCAUGAUCUCUCAAAAGCCAUGAGUAGUAUUAAUUUGAAAUUGCCAUUUUAUCCAACGCCGCUUAUGAUCAGAAUCACUUUACCAUUGGGUGAACCUUUUUCAGUGCAAAUCGUCUCUUGGACAAAGAUUAAACUGCCUUUGGUCAUCACAUGUUACAUGUAUAUACGAGGAUUUUGUAAGAACAGAAGAGUAUUUGGGAAAACACUCACGAUGAAUUCUCCGAUGCCUGGGAAGACCCAUCCUUGGCUCUGAGGAUACGAUGGGUACCUCAUCUCUCCAGCUGGGCCAAGUCCCACUUCAAUGUCCACGAUGGUACCGGCAUCCAAGAACUUCUUCAUGUUUUCCCUGAAGCUCGCCAUGUAAUCAGCAUACAUCUGUAGCAGCCACAAAGAAGGAUCAAAGCUUUGCUACCAUGAGCACACUGGGGCUACCAAAAUCACAACUAUGCUGUUGCCAAGACUCAUCUCAGUCAUCUGAAUCACCAUAUAUGCAGGAGAACUGGAAUGGUGAUCUAGCUUAGCUAACCUGGACGGCAGUUCUUCCAUGGAAGAGAGGCUGGUCGUCCACUCCAAGGGUGAGGUACUCGAUGUUCCUCGUCCCGCCGCGGUUGGUGUAGAAAAUGUCGGGGUCGGUGGCGCCGACGUCGCGAACCCACUGUGGGAUGGGGAUGUUGACGACGUCGCCGACGUUGCCACCGCACUGGUGGAAUGACAUGAUGGCCUGCAGCUUGAGCCCGGCCUCGUGCACCAGGUCGAAGACCUGCUUGUAGGCGCUCCAGUCGUACGCCUUGGGGCCCUUGCCCUCCACCAGCCCCCACCAGACGUCUAUCAUGACGCCGUCCACGCCGGCCUCCGUCAGCUUCUUCAGCUGCGCCCUGAUCUCGUCGCCCUUCUCGAAUUUGUUGUCGACGCUCACGACGUCCAGCUAUUCCCACAACGAAAGUGAAGGCAAGGUUAGUGGAACUACUGCAUCUGAGGUCUCAGAUCAGAUCUUGUUGAUAAGCUGGGUAUCAUAUGCAUGAUAAUGUGAGUUUUUAGAUCCUUGGAAUGGUUUGUCAGUGCCAUGGUGCUUAGCGGGCUGAAUGGAGCUUACCGGGAGCAUGACGUAGACUUGGACAUAGUUGGCUAGCAUGUUCCCGGCCAUUGUGGCUGCUGGCUACAAACACUGGCUUGCGUGCUCACUCACUCACUGAGCUUGGUUUGCUGGGUGUUGCAGGGGAGGUCGAGGGGUCUAUUUAUACUGCGAAAGAGGGAUCGGAGGAGGGGCCCGGGGUCCUUCUCCAGCGAGGCGAGGUGAACUGGUUGAUUUUGGUUACCGCUCACAGCCCAGCUUCAGGGUUGAUAUCAUAUUUUCCUUGUCACUGGAAGAAGAUUGGGUAUCUGAAUGUUCUGAUUCGUUCACGUGUGUUUAGAGCGGCAAGCCAACAGUAUCAGGUUUAAAUACGUUAUCCGACAAAACGAAAAUAUAUUGACAGGGUCAUCCCUUGUUUUCCUUUCCAUCACGCUUAGAUGACUAGGACAAAGUUCUUCACCCCUCCAAGCUUCACCGUCCAGUCUGUGGAUUAAGCCAAAACUUGAAGCCACAUGCCCAUAAAUAUAUCCUUUUGUUUAUAAGCCAAGUGUAAAAGUAGAAAAAUAAACCCAACCAGACACCCCCUAAUAUGUGGUGAUUUGGGGGCCUGUGUGGUCGCCCACCUCACCCUCUCCAUCAACGGGCCUGUCCUCCGGUGACCAGUGGCGGGGAGGCGAAUUCUAGUGCCUCGGCUCCGACUAGUAGUUUAGGUUAGGGAUUUUUAGUCGUUGCAAAUGACAACUCUUCAUCAUUGAGUAGGUCUUUUGGGUUUUGAUCCUCGAUUUCGUUUGUCAUGACCGAGUCGAUGGAACUCUGGUUUAUAUUCCUACCGUCUCUUGGGACGAUGAGGUUAGGGUUUCUUAUCAUAGGUUCGGCACAGUAUCUGAUGUCAGACACUUCAAAUCGAUUCAACGUCAUGACUGGGGCUUUAGGGCGGUGAUUCUUAAGGGCACGCGCACGAAGACUUUUCAGUUGUCAUCAACAAGGUUAGGAUGACUCUGGUGUAGGAGAGGCUCGUUCCGGCAAUGGUAGUGGUCGUUCGGUGGUCUGAGGACCUCAAUGUAUUUUUUUUUAUUAUGUUUGGGGUGCUUUGUACUUUUGGUGAACUUUAUAAUAUAACCGUGUCCUUUUGAAUUUUUUUAACACAGUAUAAUUGAAGAAGUUUACAUACACACAUCCCAAUGCAUGCACGCACGCACACCCUACCUCCAUGAGGGCACGGGAAUGUCUUCUUUCGCUGAAUGGAUAUCGCCGGAAAGUCUGAAAUAAAUCCAAAAAAAAAUGAGCACCAGUAUCAAAUCUAGGACAUAAAUCUUGAUGAGCUGGUUCCACACAAAAACCUAACCAUCUGAGCUACACUCAGUCCACGAAAAGAAAAUGUAUUGACGGGUGACUGUGUAUCAUCACACAUCAUGGUUAUGUAUCGUGUAUAUAACACUGUCAGGCUGUUAGACAAAUAGCUCGAUCUUCUCUGCUACGAUCCGCAGACACACUAAAAAUCUUACGACUACCCAUAGAACCGUAUAUUUUUGCUCAGACACACUAAAAAUCUGAUGUUAGGGUUUUAGGCAUGUCAAAUCUGAUGUUUUUCAUUGCAAUUUAUAUAGGCAUGAUGAUGGCAAAUUUAGUUUGCAAGUACAGCAAUUUUCUAACAAAAAGUGAAUUGAGACAGAUUUGCUAUGAUUAUCAACUAAACUUGCCAUUCUCUAAGAAUAUAAAUUGUCAUAAUAAACGUUUCAUUUGCCAUGGUAAAAAAUCUGAUGUCAGAUUUAUAGUCUCGUCCUUUUUGUUUGUAUACGUGCUACUUAUGUAUCCGGGUGUUUUCCAGGUCAAGCGGAUGUAGAAAACUUAACAGAUCAGGAUACCAUCACCAAAAGAAAAGAAAAACAGAUCAGGAUACCAGUUCAGAUAAAACUUAACUUCGGUUUACCCAUGGGUUUUACCCCCUUUUUUUUGAGCUGGCAUGCUUAUUUUACUUGGUUUUCACUUUUAAGCAGUUGGUGAUUUGUUCAUGAGCCAUCAGGUUGCCAUGCCAUGUGCACCGUGCUCACUUGACUGCUGAAAGGCGAGACCGGGGCUCCCGCCCAGGCCACGCCGCGCCUUGGAUGCGGCGGGCGGUUCUCAACAUCUCGACCAGGCCGUUGGAUGAUCUCUGUCGGGCAUUCAGUUGGAUUAGCUGGCACGAUGCACAUGCGCAACCUGCGAGUUGUCACAAAUCGCAAGGGCAUGAGAUCUGUCGUUCUCCGUCAAAACCUUAAAACAGAGUACUGUACUGUAUUUCUUCAUACUGUACUGUACUGUGAGGUUGCCGGCCAUAACAUUGCAAGAUUAUUUCGAUGCUGAUAAUCCGUGGUGCCGAUCGAUGCUGCUACUGCAAACGAGAGAAAUUAUCGCGGGG
rnacentral:lncRNA from 1 species